UGGAAGUAAAAGUCGUAACAAGGUCUCCGUUGGUGAACCAGCGGAGGGAUCAUUACCGAGUUUACAACUCCCAAACCCAAUGUGAACGUUACCAAACUGUUGCCUCGGCGGGAUCUCUGCCCCGGGUGCGUCGCAGCCCCGGACCAAGGCGCCCGCCGGAGGACCAACCUAAAACUCUUUUGUAUACCCCCUCGCGGGUUUUUUAUAUCUGAGCCAUCUCGGCGCCUCUCGUAGGCGUUUCGAAAAUGAAUCAAAACUUUCAACAACGGAUCUCUUGGUUCUGGCAUCGAUGAAGAACGCAGCGAAAUGCGAUAAGUAAUGUGAAUUGCAGAAUUCAGUGAAUCAUCGAAUCUUUGAACGCACAUUGCGCCCGCCAGUAUUCUGGCGGGCAUGCCUGUCCGAGCGUCAUUUCAACCCUCGAACCCCUCCGGGGGGUCGGCGUUGGGGAUCGGCCCUUUACGGGGCCGGCCCCGAAAUACAGUGGCGGUCUCGCCGCAGCCUCUCCUGCGCAGUAGUUUGCACACUCGCAUCGGGAGCGCGGCGCGUCCAUUGCCGUAAAACACCCAACUUUCUGAAAUGUUGACCUCGGAUCAGGUAGGAAUACCCGCUGAACUUAAGCAUAUCAAUAAGCGGAGG
rnacentral:rRNA from 1 species